AUUAGAUGAGCCUAUAUUAGAUUAGCUAGUUGGUGGAGUAAUAGCCUACCAAGGCAAUGAUCUAUAGCUGAUCUGAGAGGAUGAUCAGCCACACUGGAACUGAGAUACGGUCCAGACUCCUACGGGAGGCAGCAGUGGGGAAUAUUGGACAAUGGGCGAAAGCCUGAUCCAGCCAUGCCGCAUGAGUGUAGAAGGCCUUUGGGUUGUAAAGCUCUUUUAGUGAGGAAGAUAAUGACGGUACUCACAGAAGAAGUCCUGGCUAACUCCGUGCCAGCAGCCGCGGUAAUACGGAGAGGGCUAGCGUUAUUCGGAAUUAUUGGGCGUAAAGGGCGCGUAGGCUGAUUAAUAAGUUAAAAGUGAAAUCCCGAGGCUUAACCUUGGAAUUGCUUUUAAAACUAUUAAUCUAGAGAUUGAAAGAGGAUAGAGGAAUUCCUGAUGUAGAGGUAAAAUUCGUAAAUAUUAGGAGGAACACCAGUGGCGAAGGCGUCUAUCUGGUUCAAAUCUGACGCUGAAGCGCGAAGGCGUGGGGAGCAAACAGGAUUAGAUACCCUGGUAGUCCACGCUGUAAACGAUGAAUGUUAAAUAUGGGAAG
rnacentral:rRNA from 1 species